GGAGGAGUGGCCGAGUGGUCAAAGGCGACGGUUUGCUAAACCGUUCUCGGGUAAACUCCGGGGCGUGGGUUCGAAUCCCACCUCCUCCG
rnacentral:tRNA from 1 species